AAGAAAUUAAAGUAUUAAAUAAUUGAUCUUUUCAAUAAUUUACACAAUUACACAACAUAGCAACAACUAUCAAUGUUGUCUUCAAUUCAAGCACAUGAGAAAUUAAAGUACUAAACAAUUAAUUUUUUCAAUGAUUUGCACAAUUACACAUCACAGCAAGAGCAUCAAUACCCAUCUAACAAAAACAUUUCACAAUUCACAAUACCCAUUUAA
rnacentral:misc_RNA from 1 species